UCCCACCCUAUGUGUACCUACCUCUGUUGCUUUGGCGGGCCGCGGUCCUCCGCACCGGCGCCCUUCGGGGGGCUGGCCAGCGCCCGCCAGAGGACCAUAAAACUCCAGUCAGUGAACUUCGCAGUCUGAAAAACAAGUUAAUAAACUAAAACUUUCAACAACGGAUCUCUUGGUUCUGGCAUCGAUGAAGAACGCAGCGAAAUGCGAUAAGUAAUGUGAAUUGCAGAAUUCAGUGAAUCAUCGAAUCUUUGAACGCACAUUGCGCCCCUUGGUAUUCCGAGGGGCAUGCCUGUUCGAGCGUCAUUUCAACCCUCAAGCUCUGCUUGGUAUUGGGCCCCGUCCUCCACGGACGCGCCUUAAAGACCUCGGCGGUGGCGUCUUGCCUCAAGCGUAGUAGAAAACACCUCGCUUUGGAGCGCACGGCGUCGCCCGCCGGACGAACCUUUGAAUUAUUUCUCAAGGUUGACCUCGGAUCAGGUAGGGAUACCCGCUGAACUUAAGCAUAUCAAUAAGCGGAGGAAAAGAAACCAACAGGGAUUGCCUUAGUAACGGCGAGUGAAGCGGCAAUAGCUCAAAUUUGAAAGCUGGCCCCUUCGGGGUCCGCGUUGUAAUUUGUAGAGGAUGAUUCGGCGAGGGCUCCCGUCUAAGUCCCUUGGAACAGGGCGUCAUAGAGGGUGAGAAUCCCGUAUGUGAUGGGCUGCCUUAGCCAUGUGAAUCUCCUUCGACGAGUCGAGUUGUUUGGGAAUGCAGCUCUAAAUGGGAGGUAAAUUUCUUCUAAAGCUAAAUACCGGCCAGAGACCGAUAGCGCACAAGUAGAGUGAUCGAAAGAUGAAAAGCACUUUGGAAAGAGAGUUAAAAAGUACGUGAAAUUGUUGAAAGGGAAGCGCUUGCAGCCAGACUUGUCCGCAGUUGCUCAGCUUGUCUCCUGACAGGCGUACUCUUCUGCGGCCAGGCCAGCAUCAGUUCGGGCGGUCGGAUAAAGACUGAGGAAUGUAGCUCCUCUCGGGGAGUGUAUAGCCCUGGGUGCAUGCGGCCAGCCUGGACUGAGGAUCUCGCUCGCUAGAUGCUGGCGUAAUGCUGUAAGCGCCCGUCUGACACGAACAGAGUCUAACAUCUAUGCAAUGUUGGUGU
rnacentral:rRNA from 1 species